rnacentral:rRNA from 1 species
UUAACACAUGCAAGUCGAGGGGCAGCAUGGUUUUAGCUUGCUAAGGCCGAUGGCGACCGGCGCACGGGUGAGUAACACGUAUCCAACCUGCCGUCUACUCUUGGACAGCCUUCUGAAAGGGAGAUUAAUACAAGAUGGCAUCAUGAGUCCACAUGUUCACAUGAUUAAAGGUAUUCCGGUAGACGAUGGGGAUGCGUUCCAUUAGAUAGUAGGCGGGGUAACGGCCCACCUAGUCUUCGAUGGAUAGGGGUUCUGAGAGGAAGGUCCCCCACAUUGGAACUGAGACACGGUCCAAACUCCUACGGGAGGCAGCAGUGAGGAAUAUUGGUCAAUGGGCGAGAGCCUGAACCAGCCAAGUAGCGUGAAGGAUGACUGCCCUAUGGGUUGUAAACUUCUUUUAUAAAGGAAUAAAGUCGGGUAUGCAUACCCGUUUGCAUGUACUUUAUGAAUAAGGAUCGGCUAACUCCGUGCCAGCAGCCGCGGUAAUACGGAGGAUCCGAGCGUUAUCCGGAUUUAUUGGGUUUAAAGGGAGCGUAGAUGGAUGUUUAAGUCAGUUGUGAAAGUUUGCGGCUCAACCGUAAAAUUGCAGUUGAUACUGGAUAUCUUGAGUGCAGUUGAGGCAGGCGGAAUUCGUGGUGUAGCGGUGAAAUGCUUAGAUAUCACGAAGAACUCCGAUUGCGAAGGCAGCCUGCUAAGCUGCAACUGACAUUGAGGCUCGAAAGUGUGGGUAUCAAACAGGAUUAGAUACCCUGGUAGUCCACACGGUAAACGAUGAAUACUCGCUGUUUGCGAUAUACAGCAAGCGGCCAAGCGAAAGCGUUAAGUAUUCCACCUGGGGAGUACGCCGGCAACGGUGAAACUCAAAGGAAUUGACGGGGGCCCGCACAAGCGGAGGAACAUGUGGUUUAAUUCGAUGAUACGCGAGGAACCUUACCCGGGCUUAAAUUGCAGAUGAAUUACGGUGAAAGCCGUAAGCCGCAAGGCAUCUGUGAAGGUGCUGCAUGGUUGUCGUCAGCUCGUGCCGUGAGGUGUCGGCUUAAGUGCCAUAACGAGCGCAACCCUUGUUGUCAGUUACUAACAGGUUCUGCUGAGGACUCUGACAAGACUGCCAUCGUAAGAUGUGAGGAAGGUGGGGAUGACGUCAAAUCAGCACGGCCCUUACGUCCGGGGCUACACACGUGUUACAAUGGGGGGUACAGAGGGCCGCUACCACGCGAGUGGAUGCCAAUCCCAAAAACCUCUCUCAGUUCGGACUGGAGUCUGCAACCCGACUCCACGAAGCUGGAUUCGCUAGUAAUCGCGCAUCAGCCACGGCGCGGUGAAUACGUUCCCGGGCCUUGUACACACCGCCCGUCAAGCCAUGGGAGCCGGGGGUACCUGAAGUGCGUAACCGCGAGGAGCGCCCUAGGGUAAAACUGGUGACUGGGGCUAA